rnacentral:rRNA from 1 species
UCCGGAGAGGGAGCCUGAGAAAUAGCUACCACAUCUAAGGAAGGCAGCAGGCGCGUAAAUUACCCAAUUCUAAAGAAGAGAGGUAGUGACAAGAAAUAACAAUACAAGGCCAAUCUGGCUUUGUAAUUGGAAUGAUGGGAAUUUAAAACCUUUCCAAAACUCAAUUGGAGGGCAAGUCUGGUGCCAGCAGCCGCGGUAAUUCCAGCUCCAAUAGCGUAUAUUAAAAUUGUUGCAGUUAAAACGCUUGUAGUUGAAUUUCAAAGAAUUGAUAUUUUAAGCAACGCUUCUAGCUUAAUCCACAUAACUGAUACUUCGUAUCGACUUUGUGCGC